GAUGAAGAACGCAGCGAAAUGCGAUACUUGGUGUGAAUUGCAGAAUCCCGUGAACCAUCGAGUCUUUGAACGCAAGUUGCGCCCGAAGCCACUAGGCCGAGGGCACGCCUGCCUGGGCGUCACACGUCGUUGCCCCCCACCAUCUACUCCUUCGGGAUUGCGGGGGGCGGAUGAUGGCCUCCCGUGCGCCUAGCCGCGCGGUUGGCAUAAAUACCAAGUCCUCGGCGACGCACGCCACGACAAUCGGUGGUGGCGAAACCUCGGUUGCCCGUCGUGUGCGUUCGUCGCGCAUCGAGGGCUCGAAAAAAUGCUCGGCUCCGGCUCGGCUUUCAACGCGACCCCAGGUCAGGCGGGGUUACCCGCUGAAUUUAAGCAUAUCAAUAAGCGGAUGA
rnacentral:misc_RNA from 1 species